rnacentral:sRNA from 1 species
UGGGGGGAGACUACAAUGCUGCUAAAUUUACUAAAGCUGCAAAGGAUUAUUGUGCAACAAAGUGGUCCAUUUUGCGGGAACGCUUUGACCGAGGACUGUACGCCUCUCAUGCUGACCUCCACAGGCUUAAGUAUCAGUGCUUCAAAUCGGCCUGGAUGUUUGAGGUGUUUCAUAGGGGCUUUUCGUUUCCUUUCAACUAUAAAAGCUUAAAGACUGCCUUGCAAGUUUACGACAAGGAGGUUCAGUGGACCCUUGGAGCCAUCCUCUACAGGACCCGCUUUCUACCAUUAAGCCAUCGGAGACCACAGCCGCCCCCUCUGCUCGAGAAAGGGGCUCAGCGGCGGCGGAAGCGGAGGGAGACCACCGUGGAGAGCGCGGUCCCAGCCCGGCCACUGCGGAUCCCUGAAACCAAAGGAAGAAAAACGCUGAGGCUCACAGUCACUGGGUUAGUCACUGUGGGGACUGAAACCCGUACCUCUUGCUCCAGGUCCCUCCCCUACACCACUGCUAGCCUGUCCGUCCUGGAACCCCAAAACAACAUUUGUCAUCUUUGGUGGAAUGAAUUAGUUAUUGAUGGUG